AAUCUACUCACUCCGUUCGGAAUUAUUUGUCACAAAAAUGGAUGUAUCUACAACUAAAAUACGUCUAGAUACAUUCAUUUCUUAGACGAGUAAUUCCGAACGGAGGGAGUAAUAU
rnacentral:pre_miRNA from 1 species